rnacentral:rRNA from 1 species
AUUGAACGCUGGCGGCAGGCCUAACACAUGCAAGUCGAGCGAGCGGCGGACGGGUGAGUAAUGUAUGGGGACUGCCCGAUAGAGGGGGAUAACUACUGGAAACGGUGGCUAAUCCCGCAUACUAUCGGAUAACCCAUAUGGGAUUAGCUGGUAGGUGGGGUAAAGGCUCACCUAGGCGACGAUCUCUAGCUGGUCUGAGAGGAUGAUCAGCCAACCGGGGACGGAGACACGGCCCAGACUCUUACGGAGGCAGAAGUGGGGAAUAUUGGACAAUGGGCGCAAGCCUGAUGAAGCCAUGCCGCGGGUAUGAAGAAGGCCUUAGGGUUGUAAAGUACGUUCAGCGGGGAGGCGUUACCCGCAGAAGAAGCACCGGCUAACUCCGUGCCAGCCGCCGCGGUAAUUC